UACGUAGGUGGCAAGCGUUGUCCGGAAUUAUUGGGCGUAAAGCGCGCGCAGGCGGCCUAUCCAGUCUGUCUUAAAAGUUCGGGGCUCAACCCCGUGAUGGGAUGGAAACUAGUAGGCUAGAGUAUCGGAGAGGAAAGCGGAAUUCCUAGUGUAGCGGUGAAAUGCGUAGAUAUUAGGAAGAACACCAGUGGCGAAGGCGGCUUUCUGGACGAAAACUGACGCUGAGGCGCGAAAGCCAGGGGAGC
rnacentral:rRNA from 1 species